rnacentral:misc_RNA from 1 species
CUGAAUGGCCUCUGGGCCUUCAACCUUGUAAACCUGUGGAAGCAAGAUGUGCUUCGGCGCUUUGACGUCGCUUUUAUGCUUUAAGCCAAUCUUUUGUGUCUGAAUCGAAAUACAAGAAAGAAAUA